rnacentral:rRNA from 1 species
GAUGAACGCUGGCGGCAUGCCUAAUACAUGCAAGUCGAACGAGAGGAAGGAAAGCUUGCCUUUCUGAAUCUAGUGGCGAACGGGUGAGUAACACGUAGGUAACCUGCCCAUGUGCCCGGGAUAACUUCUGGAAACGGAUGCUAAAACCGGAUAGGUAGCAGGCAAGCAUUUGACUGCUAUUAAAGUGGCUAAGGCCAUGAACAUGGAUGGACCUGCGGUGCAUUAGCUAGUUGGUGAGGUAACGGCCCACCAAGGCGACGAUGCAUAGCCGGCCUGUGAGGGCGGACGGCCACAUUGGGACGGAGACACGGCCCAAACUCCUACGGGAGGCAGCAGUAGGGAAUUUUCGUCAAUGGGGGGAACCCUGAAUGAGCAAUGCCGCGUGAGUGAGGAAGGUCUUCGGAUCGUAAAGCUCUGUUGUAAGAGAAAAACGACAUUCAUAGGGAAUGAUGAGUGAGUGAUGGUAUCUUACCAGAAAGUCACGGCUAACUACGUGCCAGCCGCCGCCGUAA